UCCUUAGUAACCUGGGCGAUAGCUGAUGAGACGGAAGUCCUGAGAGUUUGACCGAUUUAAGGUCACGUGCCUAGGAAGUGCUGGAACCAAGACUCGGAGUUUUCUCUAAUGGAUGUUUCCAAGGAUUGUCUUCAGUCAUGGCCUUGGGAUUAAAGUGCUUCCGCAUGGUCCACCCUACCUUUCGCAAUUAUCUUACAGCCUCUAUCAGACCCGUUUCAGAAGUUACACUGAAGACAGUGCAUGAAAGACCACAUGGCCAUAGGCAAUACAUGGCCUAUUCAGCUGUACCAGUCCGCCAUUUUGCUACCAAGAAAGCCAAAGCCAAAGGGAAAGGACAGUCCCAAACCAGAGUGAAUAUUAAUGCUGCCUUGGUUGAGGAUAUAAUCAACUUGGAAGAGGUGAAUGAAGAAAUGAAGUCUGUGAUAGAAGCACUCAAGGAUAAUUUCAAUAAGACUCUCAAUAUAAGGACCUCACCAGGAUCCCUUGACAAGAUUGCUGUGGUAACUGCUGAUGGGAAGCUUGCUUUAAACCAGAUUAGCCAGAUCUCCAUGAAGUCGCCACAGCUGAUUUUGGUGAAUAUGGCCAGCUUCCCAGAGGUAAGAUGGCCUUGCUAAAAUCUCUCUCCGUGGUCUCUUUUGGAAUGGAGGAGACUGGGUCAUAUCAGGAGGAAGUGUUCCUUCAGCUUAGGAUGAAACAAGAGAGA
rnacentral:sRNA from 1 species